AAUAAUUCAAUUGCUCAAUUUAUUCAAAAAGACAAACCCAUGCAGAGCCUAGAAGCCUAGCGGGUUCCCAUCCACAGGAGCCAUGACAAGCACCCACGGAGCAGCAGUGAUUCCAGCUUCAGUCCAAAGGCCUUCUCCCAAAACAGUGAAAUGUGUGCCUGAUGGUAGAGGGAUUGAUAUGUCAUAAACGCUUCGGAACCUCCGUGCAGAUGGAAGAAGCCUCAGGACGAAGACAACAGGAGACUCUCUCUAAACAGUGGUAGCUUGCUGUCAAGAGGAAAAGAGCAGGACCUUAAAGAAGAUUUAAUUUUCCUGUUCAGAAAAAAGAAAGUGCAGCUUGCUAGCAGCAUUCAUUUAAUUUUACAUCAAUACGCUCUUUGAGGCUGAAACAAAUCUGACUGAUUUUCAACAUGGAAAUAAAAUAUAAAAACUGUUCUUGGAGUUAUUUCUAAACAGAACUGACAUCAGAAUCGUCUGAAUUAUCAGAAUCGUCUAUUUCGGAAAAAUCGGAUUCAUCAAACGAAUCUUCGGCCAACAAGUGUUUGAGAACAAUGUCACCAUCACGCACAGGAAUGGCAUGGUUUUUUGCAGCGAUCGAAAGUUACUAUAUUUGUAAAUGGAAAUACCAUGACUAAAAACAAAAUAAUAGAAUGAUGGCUUUUGUUUCCAAAGUCGAUAUUCCAGAGCGAUGGGAAAAUAAUAAUAAAAGUGAGAUAUUUUGUGGCAAAGCUAUCUCAGUAAAUGCCGCAGCCGUGGGCACUGCUGGUGAGUAUUCUCAGGGCAAAUGGGAAAAGGGUUAAAAGAAUGUCUCAGAGUCCAAGGAGCAGCGGCACCGUGCAGCGGCUGACUCUCCAUCCUUCCCGUCGUGGCAUCGUUGGCAAGGUAAGGUGGCUACUUUUCCCACAGGAGAUGCAGACUGACCCCACCUGCUUUGAAUCCGGGCCGACCACUGGGAUACGUGAAUGUGGCAGCAGACAAGUUCACAGUGGCCCUGGGGCUUCCUCAAUCCAUCUCUUCCCCACCCCCAAAAAAACCUGCUUCUGCCGUCGGGACAAGCUCAAGCUAGUUGUUGGAGGAUGAGAGGCCACACAGAGGAGACUUGAGGCGCCUCAGCCCACAGCCCGCCCAGCCCUCAACCAUGGAAAACGCUAGCCUGGACCUGGAGGAUCACCCUACCCCAUCCUCUGCUGACCAAAAACACAAGAACAAUGAUUGAUAUGGAUUGUUCCAAGCCACUGACUGUUGGGGUGAUUUGUUAAGCAGUGAUCAACGACCCAUAUCUACCACCAAGGCUGGCGGGCAGGGGCAUUAUCAUGGCUCACUGCAGCCUUGACCUCCUCUCGGGCUCAAGCAAUCCUCCAUAUUAGCCUACUGAUUAGCUGGGACUACAAGUGCUUGCCACCACUCCCAAAUAAUUUUUAUAUUUUUUGUAAAGACAAGGUUUCUCCAUAUUGCCCAGGCUGGUCUUGAACUCCUGAGCUCAAGCAAUCUGCCCGCCUCGACCUCCCACAGUGCUGGGAUUACAGAAUAAACAGCAGAAGAACAGAACCAUGUUCGGCUCUACAGCCACCGCUGCCAAAGCCUGGGCAACACUCAAGAAUGCGAACAAAUCCCAGGUCGGCACUGCCUGAUCCAGACCCUGGGGUCCUCGUCCUCCUGCCCAGCAUGGGGUGCUGGCUGUGCUGAGGCUGCGGCCAGGACUACAGGGACGGAGUUGUGUGAUUAGGCUAGGUGCAGUGGCUCACGCCUGUGAUCCCAGCACUUUGGGAGGCCAAGGCAGGCGGAUUGCUUGAGCCCAGGAGUUUGAGAUCAGCCUGGGCAACAUGGUGAAACCCCAUCUCCACAAAAAAGACAAGAAUUAGCCAGAUCCUGGAUGGAGCUGGAUGGAACCGAAUAUCUUAAUUCUAAAAAGAUUUCCAGAAAAUCAUACCGACCAGAGGACAUCCAGCCCAGCUUAACACAGACGACGACCACUCAAGGUGAGACGCAGCCCUUGGCCCCAGCUUCCCAUGGGCAGGGAGCCAGCCGAGCCCCUCAGAGGCGUUCCCCAAGGCUCUGCAGAUGCGGCCCAGGAAGAUGCAGGAAAAGAAGGACAGCCCAGUGUCUGGGGCCCCUCCCAGGGCGAAGAACCGGCAUUCCUACCGCAGCCCAGGCUGACGCUGCAGCCAGUCCCGGGGCAUUUUAGAGUCCCCAGGGACCGGUAACUGCUGUGGGUCCCCUGAUUCCCCUUCUAGUUGGGCGCAUUUACCGAGACAAGCCUGUCCCCGGCUCGGUGCUGUGUGGGGCCCAGCAGGGCUGGUCACUCGUCUUAGUGCCCAAGGCUCCAGGUUAAGAGGAGCCACGUGAGCCACGAUGGUCAUCACCAGAUGCUGGGUGCCGUGCUCGAAGCCAGGACCGGCUGAGGCUUUCGGGGGUUGCAUGUUUUGCAUGCAUCAGUGAAGGAGACAUUUGUGACCCACUACUGGGGCAGGUGGUUUCACUUUCCCACCAUUAUGUCCAGAAUUGGUAGGUUCUUGGUCUCACUAACCUCAAGAAUGAAGCCGUGGACCCUCGUGGUGAGUGUUACAAUUCUUAAAGAUGGUGUGUCCGGAGUUUAUUCCUCGGGUGUGUUCACAGUUUUUCUUCUGAUGGGUUCGUGGUCUCGCUGGCUUCAGGAGUCAAGCUGCAUAGCUUGGCGGUGAGUGUUGCAGCUCUUAAGUCGGCGGAUCUGGAGUUGUUCGUUUCUCCCAUCCGGAGUUGUUCAUUCCUCCUGGUGGGCUCGGGCUCUCACUGGCCUCAGCAGUGAACCCGCAGACCUUCGUGGUGAGCGUUACAGCUCACAAAGGCAGUGCGGACCCAAACAGUGACCAGCAACAAGAUUUAUUGCAAACAGCAAAAGAACAAAGCUUCUACCGCAUGGAAGACGACCCCAGCGGGUUGCCCCUGCUAGCUCGUGCAGCCUGCUUUUAUUCCCUUAUCUGACCCCACCCACAUCCUGCUGAUUGGUCCAUUUUACAGAGAGCUGAUUGGUCCGUUUUGACAGGGUGCUGAUUGGUGCAUUUACAAACCUUGAGCUAGACACAGAGUGCUGAUUGGUGCAUUUACAAUCUUCCAGCUAGAUAUAAAAGUUCUCCAAGUCCCCACGAGAUUAGCUAGACACAGAGCACUGUUUGGUGCAUUUACAAACAUUUAGCUAGACACAGAGUGCUGAUUGGUGUAUUUACAAUCCUCUAGCUAGAUGUAAAAGUUCUCCAACUCCCCACCCGACUCAGGAGCCCAGCUGGCUUCACCUAGUGGAUCCCCCUCUGGGCCCGGGAGGGCAGCCCACCAGUCCUGCACCACACCCACACCCCUCAGCCCUUGGGCGGUCGAUGGGACUGGGCGCCUCGGAGCAGAGGGCGGCACCUGUCAGGGAGGCUGGGCCCCACGGGAGCCCACAGUGGGAGGGGGGCUCAGGCAUGGCAGGCUGCAGGUCCCAAGCCCUGCCCCAUGGGGAGGCGGCUGAGGCCUGGUGAGAAUUCAAGCAUGGCGGAGGUGGGCCGGCAGUGCUGGGGUACCUGGUGUACCCUCCUCCGCAGCUGCUGGCCCAGGUGCUAAGCCCCUCACUGCCCGGGGCUGGCAGCGCCGGCCGGCCACUCCAAGUGUGGGGCCCACCGAGCCUGCACCCACCCGGAGCUCACGCUGGCGCGUGAGCACCACGUGCAGCCCCGGUUCCUGCCUGUGCCUCUCCCUCCACACCUCCCUGCAAGAGGGAGCCGGCUCUGGCCUCGGCCAGCCCAGAGAGGGGCUCCCACAGUGCAGCAGCAGGCUGAAGGGCUCGUCAAGCAUGGCCAGAGUGGCCGCCGAGGCCGAGGAGGCGCCAAGAGUGAGCGAGGACUGCCAGCAUGCUGUCACCUCUCACCAUCCCCAGUUCUCCUGUCACCUCCCUGGAGGAGGGUGUGUUCCUGGUGCCACUGGCUUUGUGCCUGGCCACGUGACACAUCUUGACUCAUAGAACGUGGGCACAGGUGAGGUGCGGCCCUGUCAGAUCCACGGAAAAUGCACUUGCAGGGGUUGGCCGAACCCCUCUUGCUCCUUCCCCUUUCUGUUAGUUUCCUAUCAAAGCUGCAACAAAAACAACAGAAAUUUACUACCGUUCUGGAGGUCAGAUGCCUCCAAUGGGUCCCACUGGGCUAAAAUCAAGGUGUGAGCAGGGCUGCCUUCCUCCUAGGGGCUCCACAGAAGAAUCCAUUUCACACCUUCUCAGCUUCUAGAGGCUGUGGCAUCCCUGACUCAUGGCCCCUUCCUCCACCAUCGCAGUUGGCAGCACAGCUGACCCUAGCCUCCACCUUCACUGUCACGCUGCUCUUUGGCUCCGACCCUCCUGCCACCCCUUGUGAAUAUUCAGGUGCCAGGGCCCUCUCCAUCUCAACAUCUCUACUCACCCUGCAAAGCCCCUUGAGCCACAGGAGGUCACAUGUCCACAGCUUCCAGGGACAAGGGUGUGGACAUUUUGGAGGAGCCAUGAUGCUGCCUCCCACACCUCCGUUCGAACAUUAUCACAGCCCAGACAGAUUCUCCUGCAGCCUGGGGCCUGGAAUGCAAAGGCCACUGGGGCCAAAUCAGC
rnacentral:lncRNA from 1 species